CCUACGGGUGGCUGCAGUGGGGAAUAUUGCACAAUGGGCGGAAGCCUGAUGCAGCGACGCCGCGUGAGCGAAGAAGGCCUUCGGGUCGUAAAGCUCUGUCCUAUGGGACGAUAAUGACGGUACCAUAGGAGGAAGCCCCGGCUAACUACGUGCCAGCAGCCGCGGUAAUACGUAGGGGGCGAGCGUUGUCCGGAAUUACUGGGCGUAAAGGGUGCGUAGGCGGCCCUUUAAGUCGGAUGUGAAAGCCCGCGGCUUAACCGCGGAAUGGCAUUCGAAACUGGAGGGCUUGAGUGUCGGAGAGGGUAGUGGAAUUCCCAGUGUAGCGGUGAAAUGCGUAGAUAUUGGGAGGAACACCAGUGGCGAAGGCGACUACCUGGACGAUAACUGACGCUGAGGCACGAAAGCUAGGGGAGCAAACAGGAUUAGAUACCCCAGUAGUC
rnacentral:rRNA from 1 species